rnacentral:rRNA from 1 species
GCACCUUCGGGUGAGCGGCGGACGGGUUAGUAACGCGUGGGAACGUGCCCUUCUCUACGGAAUAGCCUCGGGAAACUGAGAGUAAUACCGUAUACGCCCUUCGGGGGAAAGAUUUAUCGGAGAAGGAUCGGCCCGCGUUGGAUUAGGUAGUUGGUGGGGUAAUGGCCUACCAAGCCGACGAUCCAUAGCUGGUUUGAGAGGAUGAUCAGCAACACUGGGACUGAGACACGGCCCAGACUCCUACGGGAGGCAGCAGUGGGGAAUCUUAGACAAUGGGGGAAACCCUGAUCUAGCCAUGCCGCGUGAGUGACGAAGGCCCUAGGGUCGUAAAGCUCUUUCAGCUGUGAAGAUAAUGACGGUAGCAGCAGAAGAAACCCCGGCUAACUCCGUGCCAGCAGCCGCGGUAAUACGGAGGGGGUUAGCGUUGUUCGGAAUUACUGGGCGUAAAGCGCGCGUAGGCGGACCAGAAAGUCAGGGGUGAAAUCCCGGGGCUCAACCCCGGAACUGCCCUUGAAACUCCUGGUCUUGAGUUCGAGAGAGGUGAGUGGAAUUCCGAGUGUAGAGGUGAAAUUCGUAGAUAUUCGGAGGAACACCAGUGGCGAAGGCGGCUCACUGGCUCGAUACUGACGCUGAGGUGCGAAAGUGUGGGGAGCAAACAGGAUUAGAUACCCUGGUAGUCCACACCGUAAACGAUGAAUGCCAGACGUCGGCUCGCAUGCGGGUCGGUGUCACACCUAACGGAUUAAGCAUUCCGCCUGGGGGAGUACGGUCGCAAGAUUAAAACUCAAAGGAAUUGACGGG